GGAUAAAAAUAUUUCGGAUAAAAUUUAAUAUUUUUCAAAUUUUUGAAGGGUCUUCUUUACUAUUCACUAGUUUUCCGGCAGCCACCACACCGGAGUCUGGCAACCUCAAAAACCCAUUUUUAUUCUAGUCUCUUCACAAUACAGACAGAAAACACCAUAAACGAGCACAACAAUUCAACGCUUCCCCCAUUUUCUUUCUUUUCCAUUUCUGACUAGCAGCUCACGGUGCAAAACCACCGCUCACGCCACCAGUGCUUAGCCCAAAGCAGCCUAAACCUAACCACGUUCAGCUCCAACAGCGAGCUUCGCCAGACCCCAACACAUUUACCCUUCUUCUUCUUUUCUCCGACAACCAGCAAACCACUCCCUCUCUUCUCUUCAACCACCAAACUACCUCCUCUAAACCCACCAUAAAGAAUAAAAAUGAAAACCCCACCACCAACCGAAACCACUAAGAAAGCCACUUGCUCCUCCAUUUUCCUACCAACAACAACCAUCGAGACCAGACCUCCUUCUCCCUUUCCCCCUCUACGAGUUUGUUUCUUUUUUGAAAGCGUUAGAUCCCUAAUUUCCGGUGUAAACGGUGAGCCGACGAGCUCCCGUGUCAGUUGGACUUCACAUACGAGCUUCAUUUCCGUUAAACUCCGACAAUCAGGCGCUACUGUGGCCUCCUCUUUUUGCCUGUUUUGGUGCCAUAAGGGCUCGGUCAUCUUCCCUGCAAUCUUUCCAAAAUUUAAAAACGGAAAGUGGUGCAAAUUUUUUUGACGAGGUCUCCAAAAAUUUUACAAAGGAGAUAGUACAAUAUUAAAUACCGGAGGUUGUUGAAGCUGAAACAGGGGCAAAUUUUCAAGGAAUGACCUCAAAAAUUUUACAAAGUUUGUACGCAGACUCCAGAAUUUAUGAGGCUUCACUCUGAGUUGGUUUGUAUAUUUUGCAUUAAUUUUUUGUACAUGAUGUCACAUUCAUUGUAUAUCUUUGAUUUUUAUUAUAUUCUAUUGAAAAUAUUGUUUUAGUUGA